CAGCAGCCGCGGGAAUACGUAGGUGGCAAGCGUUGUCCGGAAUUAUUGGGCGUAAAGGGCUCGCAGGCGGUUUCUUAAGUCUGAUGUGAAAGCCCCCGGCUCAACCGGGGAGGGUCAUUGGAAACUGGGAAACUUGAGUGCAGAAGAGGAGAGUGGAAUUCCACGUGUAGCGGUGAAAUGCGUAGAGAUGUGGAGGAGCACCAGUGGCGAAGGCGACUCUCUGGUCUGUAACUGACGCUGAGGAGCGAAAGCGUGGGGAGCGAACAGGAUUAGAUACCCGAGUAGUCCCUGUCUCUUAUAC
rnacentral:rRNA from 1 species